AAAGUGACGCUUUUGCACUUUGUGACAUCUGUCUGAGUAAAGGUGGUGUACAAAGAAAAGGAACUUACGGUAAGAUCUACGUCUGGUAGUUUAGUAGAAACACACCCCCACAGAGCUGAUGAAGACGAGCUCGCACUUCCUUUCUGCGCCACAUUUGAGGCUCAGCUGUCGGGCGCGGCGCCUCACCCGUGUCCUGCAGCUCGCCCGCUGCAGACCCCGCUGCAGGAUGAACGCCCGGUGGUGGAGCUUCCUGUUCGGACUUGUGUGUGUGCGUGCCGAGGGGACGCGCUGGACAGCCUCUCAGAGCCCGGCAUCCAUCCGUCGAGUGGAGAUCAACUCGUCUCUGGAGAUCUCCUGCUCCACAUCGCUGCCCCGCGUGCUGUCGUUGAGCCUGCACAGGCUUUUCAAGUCCGACGCGCAAAUCGUGUACCUGUCUUUGAACGACGGCGAAAUCACCAAACAAAAUCCCCGCGCGGACUACGUAGACCGGGUCCGUGUGACCGGAGAGCGUUCGGAGUCGGAGUACCAGGUGACGCUGCGGCUGUCCGAGCUACAGCAGGACGACACCGACUUGUACUACUGCAGCUGGACGUACACAGAGGCGUAUGCCGUGGAGCAUCUGAGAAGCAACGGCACCGUCCUCAUCGUGGGAGAGAAAAGGCCUGAACCCCGGUGCCAGAUGCCCCCCCUGGACCUGGUCUUGGUCUGUGCGGGAACCACGGCGUCCGUCCUCAUCCUGUGCUUCUGCGGGGUCUACUUCUACAGGGGCAGACGAACUAAAGGGAACUUUAUCCCCGCGCGCCCCCCAGGACAGACAGACCCCCCAGACACAGAUCCUGCAGCUGCAACUCCAACCCCCCCCAGAUCCAACCGUAUUUAGUCACUUCGUUACAAUCGCCUUACUUUCACAGGUGAUCUGCACCAGCACCUCAACAGGCUCUUCGCUUUCCUGCCUAAUUUGUUGUAUCUGCAGAAAAAGCGUCAGCCACCACUUCCUGGCCGAGGCGCCGCUCGCCAUGGCUGGUAGAGGGAAGGUGCACAGCAAGCAUUGUAUCUGUUCAGCACAUCGACUUUUCCUUUGAAGUUUUUUUUCCUGUAAUGACUUGUCAAGACUUUUGAAGUUUUUUUUUUUCUGUAAAUGUUUCAUAAAAAAUGCAAUAAAUCUGCAAAAACCAUC
rnacentral:lncRNA from 1 species